rnacentral:sRNA from 1 species
UCCUUACAUACGGAUGUCAAACAUGGGC